rnacentral:lncRNA from 1 species
UGGGGGAGGGGGCGGGGGACGCCGCUGAGGGGCCUGGUGGCGGCGGCCGUUCCUCGUCCUGACCGACACCUGCGCCGCCUUUGCAGGGACCGCCACGAAGGACGAAGACCCCAUCCGAGCGGGACCCGCCGGCGGGGGGGCUGCUCGUUACCAAGGCAACCGCUCCUUCUCGGCCCCCCAAACACGGCAGAGGGGCCAGGGCCGUGGAAACAACCGGAAGAGCGCCCUGCGGCCCCGCCUCGAGGCCCUUGGCGGGAAGAGGAGAAGACGAGCGGUGCCGGGACUGGACUGCGAUAACCGGGAGCACCUGGAACGUGAUGGGGCCCUCCGAGAAGCCCCUGCAGGGGUGGGGUGGGGAGAGGAGUCCACGGAGCGUGGCCCGGGCAGCACACGCGGCGGCUUCGCCCUUGCUGCCCCUGCUCGGCGGGGCGCCCCUUCUGGCUCUGGAACCGGUUCCCGGGACACGCAGGGAUGCUGUGGAGGACGCAAGGCCCGGCGGGUGGGCGCUUGGAGGCCCCCUCUCUGGGGCCCGCCCCGCCCCUCCGCGGCCACGCUCGGGCCCCGUGGAGCACGGGUGGAGCGCCGCCGAAGAAGCCCGGCCCGCUCGCUGCUCAGGCAGCUCUCGCAGGCGGCAGCGUCGUGGCUCCGGCGCGGGAUGGCGCCCGUGGCCGUCGCGUCCCAGCGCCGAGGACGGACGGAGCCCGCCCUCCUCUUCGCCCAUCAGCCGUGCCGUGGCCGCCAGAGCCACCCAAGAAAGGGCCACCGCGGUGGUGAGGAAGGAGACCUCCAGACGGGCAGAGAACCGCCCUUCUCCGCAUGCCUUGGAGAAGACGCACAGACGCCCUCGUUGUUUACCCGUGACAAGGGCACACCCAGACCUUCCACAUGUCCAUUUUUGUCCCUCAUAA